AGAACGAACGCUGGCGGCAGGCCUAACACAUGCAAGUCGAGCGCUGUAGCAAUACAGAGCGGCGCACGGGAGAGUAACGCGUGGGAACCUACCUUUUGGUUCGGGAUAACACCGGGAAACUGGUGCUAAUACCGGAUAAGCCCUUCGGGGGAAAGAUUUAUUGCCGAAAGAUGGGCCCGCGUUGGAUUAGCUAGUUGGUGAGGUAAUGGCUCACCAAGGCUACGAUCCAUAGCUGGUCUGAGAGGAUGAUCAGCCUCACUGGGACUGAGACACGGCCCAGACUCCUACGGGAGGCAGCAGUGGGGAAUAUUGGACAAUGGGGGAAACCCUGAUCCAGCCAUGCCGCGUGAAUGAUGAAGGCCUUCGGGUUGUAAAGUUCUUUUGACAGGGACGAGUGAUGACGGUACCUGUAGAAUAAGCUCCGGCUAACUUCGCGCCAGCAGCCGC
rnacentral:rRNA from 1 species